rnacentral:lncRNA from 1 species
CGGGGACGGCUCCGGGGGUCUCCUGGGGGACCCCUUUGGGGGCGUCUCGGGGGCUCUUCUCGGGGACGCCUCUCGGCGGCGUCUCGGGGAGCCCUUGGGGGGCGUCUCGGGGGGUCUUCUUCUUGGGGAGCCCUUUGGGGACCCCUCUCGGCGUCGCCGCGGGGAUCCCUUUGGGGACGCGUCCGGGGGUCUUCGCGGGGACGUCUCUCGCCGCCGUCUUGGGGAGCCCUUUGGGGAGCCCUUUGGGGACGCGUCCGGGGGUUUUCGGGGGGACCCCUUCGGGGAGCGCCUCGGGGACCCCUUGGGGAACUUCUCGGGGCAGCGCCCGGGGGAACUUCGGGGGGACCCUUGGGGACAUCGCGCCGGGUCCCCGCCGGGGCACCGCCCCCAGCUCCCGUUUGGGGGGGCCCCGGGGGGGGGGACAUCCGAGGAGCCCUUGGGGGACGUUUCCGAGGAGCCCUUGGGGGACAUCCGGGACGUUUCUGAGGACCCAUUUGGGGACAUCUCCGAGGAGCCCCCUGGGGACAACGGGGCCACCUCCGAGGACCCCUCUGGGGACAUCUGAGACGUUUCCGAGGAGCCCCUUGGGGACAUCUCCGAGGAGCCCUUUGGGGACACCGGGGACAAAGCCGAGGUCCCCUUUGGGGACGUCCCCGGGGCCACUUUCGGGGACCCACACGGGGACAUGGGGGGGACCCCUGGGGAGCGCUCUGGGGACGCGUGGUGCCUCUCCGGGGUCCCCUCUGGGGACAUCGGGGACGCUUCCGAGGAGCCAUUUGGGGACACGUGUCCCCUCUCUGGGGACAUCUCCCCGGCCGCCUUUGGGGACAUCGGGGUCACUUCCGAGGAGCCAUUUGGGGACAUUUGACAGCGCUGUGGGGACAUCUCCGGGGCCGCCUUCGGGGACCCCUUUGGGGACACGGGGCGCCUCCGUGGGGACAUCUCCGGGGCCACCUCUGGGGGUCCCUUUGGGGACGUUGGGGACAAUUCCGAAGACCCCUCUGGGGACAUUUCCAAGGGCUUCUCUGGGGACAUCGGGGACAUCGCCGGGGCCACCUCCGAGGACCCCUUUGGGGACAUUGGGGUCACAUAUGGGGACCCCUUUGGGGACAUUGGGGACGGAUAUGGGGACCCCUUUGGGGACAUUGGGGACAUCUCCGGUGUCACCUUCGGGGUCACCUCUGGGUGCCACUCGGGGGCCAUCAGCGGGGACCCCCUCGGGGCCAUCCCUGGGGACCCCUUUUGGGGGGGGACGUCCCCAAGGGCCACCGGGGCCACCCCCUCCUCUCCGUGUCCCCCGACCUUGGGGACAUCGGCGCCCGCCACCGUCAGCGUUGGGGACACGGGGGCUCGUCCCCCUUGUCCCCCCCGGGGCGGGAUGGGGGGCGGUGCCCCUCGUGUCCGGGCUGGGGACACCGAUGUCACCGGCGGCGGAGGUGACACCGCGUGGGACGGUGGUGGCAUCUCUGGGGGCUGCGUCCCCUGGGUCCUUGGUGGCACCGCUGGGGACAUCAGUGCCACCAGGGGGGGAGAUGACGCUGGGAGUGACAGAGGUGGCAGCUCCCGUGUCCGUGGGGACACCCCACGUCCCGCCGAGCCCAAAGGGGACGUCCCCUGUGUCACCUCUCGUGUCAUCGGCGUCCCCUCUCGUGUCAUGGACGUCCCCUCUCGUGUCACCGGUGUUCUGUCCCAGGUCGGUGGUGGCACCUCCUGUCCCCAUGGUGGCAUCUCCAGUGCCACCGGUGUCCCCUCUCGUGCCACCACUGUCCCCUCUUGUGUCACCGCUGACCUGUCCCAGCUCAGUGGUGGCAUCUCCAGCGCCACUGGGGACAUCGUCUGUGUCCCCUCUCGUGUCACCGCCGUCCCCCCUCGUGUCACCGCUGACCUCUCCCAUGUCGCUGGUGUCCCCUCCCGUCCCCACGGUGCCACCCCCAGUGCCGUCGCCGUCCCCUCCCGUGUCCCCGCUGUCCCCUCCCGGCUCAGUGCUGUCCCCUCCCGUCCCCAAGGUGCCACCAUCU